rnacentral:rRNA from 1 species
AGCUCCAAUAGCGUAUAUUAAAGUUGUUGCAGUUAGAACGCUCGUAGUCGGAUUUCGGGGCGGUCUCGCCGGUCUGCCGAUGGGUACGCACUGGCGCGAGCGUCCUUUUUGCCGGAGACCGUGCCUACUCUUAGCUGAGCGGGGGCGGGAGACGGCACAUUUACUUUGAAAAACUCAGAGUGUUUCAAGCAGGCAGCUCGCUCUUGCAUGGAUUAGCAUGGGAUAAUGAAAUAGGACUUUGGUGCUAUUUUGUUGGUUUCGAACACCGAAGUAAUGAUGAGAAGGGACAGUCAGGGGCACUCGUAUUCCGCCGAGAGAGGUGAAAUUCUCAGACCAGCGGAAGACGAACCACUGCGAAAGCAUUUGCCAGGGAUGUUUUCA